AUUGAACGCUGGCGGCAUGCUUUACACAUGCAAGUCGAACGGCAGCACGGGCUUCGGCCUGGUCGCGAGUGGCGAACGGGUGAGUAAUAUAUCGGAACGUACCCAGCAGUGGGGGAUAACGUAGCGAAAGUUACGCUAAUACCGCAUACGAUCUAUGGAUGAAAGCAGGGGACCGCAAGGCCUUGUGCUCCUUGCGCGGCCGAUAUCUGAUUAGCUAGUUGGUGAGGUAAAGGCUCACCAAGGCGACGAUCAGUAGCUGGUCUGAGAGGACGACCAGCCACACUGGAACUGAGACACGGUCCAGACUCCUACGGGAGGCAGCAGUGGGGAAUUUUGGACAAUGGGCGCAAGCCUGAUCCAGCAAUGCCGCGUGAGUGAAGAAGGCCUUCGGGUUGUAAAGCUCUUUUGUCAGGGAAGAAACGGUAGAGGCUAAUAUCCUUUGCUAAUGACGGUACCUGAAGAAUAAGCACCGGCUAACUACGUG
rnacentral:rRNA from 1 species